rnacentral:misc_RNA from 1 species
GAUGAAGGACGCAGCGAAAUGCGAUAAGUAAUGUGAAUUGCAGAAUUCAGUGAAUCAUCGAAUCUUUGAACGCACAUUGCGCCCCCUGGUAUUCCGGGGGGCAUGCCUGUUCGAGCGUCAUUUCAACCCUCAAGCUCUGCUUGGUAUUGAGUCCAUGUCAGCAAUGGCAGGCUCCAAAAUCAGUGGCGGCGCCGCUGGGUCCUGAACGUAGUAAUAUCUCUCGUUACAGGUGCUCGGCGUGCUUCUGCCAAAACCCCAAUUUUUCUAUGGUUGACCUCGGAUCAGGUAGGGAUACCCGCUGAACUUAAGCAUAUCAAUAAGCGGAGGA